rnacentral:rRNA from 1 species
UCCCUACGGGGGGCAGCAGUGGGGAAUAUUGCACAAUGGGGGAAACCCUGAUGCAGCGACGCCGCGUGAGUGAAGAAGUAUUUCGGUACGUAAAGCUCUAUCAGCAGGGAAGAAAAAAAGUCCUUUGGACUUUGGACGGUACCUGACCAAGAAGCCCCGGCUAACUACGUCCCAGCAGCCGCGGUCAUACGUAGGGGGCAAGCGUUAUCCGGAUUUACUGGUUGUAAAUGUAG